CAAAAUUUAACCGAAAUUUGGCCGAAAUUCGGCCGAAAUUUGAACAAAACUUUAAAUAAAAUAGAGCAAAACAUAUCAGCACAACAACCAUCAGGAGAGAUCUUAUAAACUUUAGCAAAUAAGCUCUAGGGAUUAAGAAAAUUGAAUCUGCCCAACAUAACAGGCACACGUUAGCUAUAAUGUUGCCUCCAACAUAACAGUUAACAAUCCAACAUAGCAGACACACAUUAGUUAUAAAAUUGCCUCCAACAUAACCCUUAACAGUCCAACAUAACAGACACACAUUAGUUAUAAAGUUGCCUCUGACAUAAACCCUUAACCGUCCAGCAUCAGUUCAACCAUCACAGCAUAGUUCAAAGUUUAAAUAGUCCAGUACAGCCAAAAGACUUUAAAGCAUUAAACAUAGAAACAUCUCCAAAAGACAACCAUCAGCUUAUUUGAAGCAUCAGCUCCAAGCUUCCCAACAUCCAAAAGCUUCUUGAUAUCCUUUGCUCACGUGCCAUUUCUGGUUUGGAGAAAACAGAGGAAGGGUCAUGAUACAGAGUGCAUACAUCUAAGUAACUAGCAGUUCCAAGUAGCAACUAAAAUACUGUGUUAAGUAGCAAUUAGAACAACACUAAUAAGUGAUUG
rnacentral:lncRNA from 1 species